GGACAUUUUCUUCCCACAGGAGCCGAAAACAUACUCCUCACUCGGUGCAGGAUUUUAAAGAAGACUUGCUAAAAAGGUCUGACGAUGUAAAAAGGUUUGGCUACAGCACCAUACUAGAGCCUCUGCUGAAGGAUCUUGUGAGCUUUGAGAAGGAAGGUCUGUACAUCCCUUCACUGGGCAAAAAGGAUGAAAUAUGACCGAAUCAACAUUGCUUCGUGUAAUACUGUCAGACCAUGCUGUUCGAAAACUGACCUUGCCACAUGGAAUUCCCUCAACAGUUGAGGAGCUGCAACUAGCAAUUAGAGAUGCUUUUACCCUUUCUGGAAAUUUUUGUUUACAUUAUAUGGAUGCAGAUUUUGGCAAUGCAUAUUUUACACUGCUGUCCACAAAUGACAUCAAGGAUAAAGACACCAUCAAAGUUGUGUACAUAGAUGAACCUACAGUAACCUUGACGUUGUCAUCUGUAGACAACACAAGCGACAGCGACUUUUCUUCACUUCCUAUAACCCAGCCUUUGGAUAAUACAUCUUCAUUGUCUUCAGAUGACACAGCACCUCUUUCACCAUCAUCAAAUGGGCGAACUAUGCCGUGGCCAGAUGAAUUUCCAGUACCCCGGUUUUCUUCAUCUACUGAAGUGCUACUGUCAUCUGGAAACCAAAAAUAUACAGUAUAUCCUCUGGGACUCUGUUCUGUUCAAAAGAACUACUGACAAUACUACCUGACAUUCUUAGUCAAUUGGCAGAGACAAUUUUUGAGUACAGUGCUUAUCCAUCAAGCGCACAUCUGAGCCAGGUAGCGGAAGCACUUGUCCAAAAGCAUCCCUGCCUAAAAGAACCGGGAUCAUUCAAUGGGUGCUAUGGAUGGAUCCAGAGACUAAAAUAUAAAAUGAACAACUUUCGGUCCAAACGAGGCAUUGGCUAUCCGGAACUUACAGUGAAUUCACUCAAGAGAAAAGCAGCACAUGAUCAAACUCCAGCCAAGAACAUCAAAAAGCCUAGAAAGGCUGAAGUUAAUUACUUACCCCCACAUCCUCAAGGCGAAACAAGUGACAGUCUGGAGAAAGAGAGGCAGGAUCUCAUUCUGGAAGUCACCAAGAGAGAUAGUCAAGUGUUGACUGAAAAAAUGGCAAGAACUUUCUCACUCCGAAGACAAGAAAUUCUCUAUGAUGAACCAGCAGUGAGAGACUUCAUGCAUCGCUGGCCUGCUCUUUUCAAUCCUGGACAGGUUAAUGAAGAAUUCAAAAGAAUCACAACAGUGAGCCUGGAGUCCACCUUCAUGGCACAGCUUGAUCUGUGCACACCAAAACUAAUGGAGGUGGCUUCUACACGAGGAGGAGCUGCUGGAGUGAAAAUCAGAGGGAAAAAAAACUUUAAAGGAACACACCACCGUUUUUCUAUAUUCAACUAUGUUCUUCUCUCACUUUAGACGAGUGGAUAUAUACAGUCCAAUUCAAUCGAUGUUCGGAGAGAAGUUGCCAUUCGCUCACUCAUUGUGUAUCUAGGUGAAAAAGAAGACGACCUUUUCAAGCACUUUAAUGACACCGAAGACUUUGAAAGCCAUCUCCAAGACCUGGUCAUGAAUAUUGCCAUCAUUGGUAAUACAGAGAACAGAGUGGCUGCCAUUGUGAUUGAGGGAACCAAGGUAAUUGAGGAAAACAGCAUUCCCAGGUGCUGCACUCUACUGAUGGGACUCAUCUAUGCGCUAAAUCUCACCUAUGCUAAACAACUUAAAUACACUUUUGAGGUGUUUCAAAAACUAAAACUUGACACAAUGAAGAUAAGUGCAAAAAUUCUCACUCUUAAAAAAAGUAUCUUCUAAAAUGUUGAGGCCAAACGUGUUCAUACUGUAGGCCAGGUGAAAAAGUGAAUCUUUAUUUUACAUUACCAUUAUUCUUUAUUGUCCUUUGUAACAAAAGGUUUAUUGUUCAAAAUUAUCCACACAGUUUCUGAAAAAAUACAAGGAUUUGUUCAUGUUCAUGAAAGUUCAUCAUUAUCACUACACGACAACAAUAAUUUUAACCACAUUUCUUUAAUUGGGUGCACAUUAAUGUGGAAACCAGUUCCUUUGGCACUAUAUUUGAUCCAAAAUGUCACAUAGUAGAUUAUAAUCUUAGACAGUUAGCAGAGACAAUCUUUAAGUACACAUCAAAGUCAGGUAACCGAAUCUACCUUUUUCAUUGUUAGAUUGAUUCAUUGAGAGUCCUCAGGGCACACAACACAAUCAACGAUUUAUUUUCCAUUUGGGCUGUACAGGAGACAAGUGAAAUUGUUUUGCACAAUGUUAACAUUGUAAUAAGAAUAUAUGUAAUUAGUACAAUAUUUAGAUCCUUUGACAUAUAAUAACUGUUUCAUAUAAAAACUGUCAUGGGGCUUCUUUCUAAAUAAUCUGUCAAGCUUCUUGAAAAUGUUGUACUUCCUGUUGUAAUAGUUAAAUCUCUGGAUAUAGCCAUAGAAUAUGUUCACACACAGUAACUGUUAUACAUUUUCAACUGUGCAUCUGCAUAUUGUGCAGCCUGUUCAAGUAAAAUAAACAAUUUCUGAAAUUGUUCUUUGUUUCUAUUGUUUUAUUAUGUAU